rnacentral:misc_RNA from 1 species
UCGCCAAUGAUAUCCAUCUUCUAACGCUUUUUCACGUACAAUAGAAGUUCUUCCUUCCUGACCAGAUUGCAAGGCACUGGAGCCAGUGCCAGGGGUAAGUAAGACUUUAUGCAGUAUUACAGAGGAGAAACUUCCUUCUUUAUUUAACUGUGAUAUAUGGGCCCCAGGAUUAGUAUCCAGCAGAGACUUCUCAGUGGUAACAGGUGUGACUUCAUCAUUUUGUGAUAUAUGAAUUCCGCUAUCAUCAAUCUGUUGUAUCAUGUGACUGCCAUUUCUGUAAUUCAUCAGAAGCAAAUUCAUCUGUACCUUCUCUUGAAGAAACCAUUUGAGCUUUGGAAGUUCUAACAGAAACAGGAAGAGAUCAACUCAAAG